ACGGUGGAUGCCCUGGCAGUCAGAGGCGAUGAAGGACGUGCUAAUCUGCGAUAAGCGUCGGUAAGGUGAUAUGAACCGUUAUAACCGGCGAUUUCCGAAUGGGGAAACCCAGUGUGUUUCGACACACUAUCAUUAACUGAAUCCAUAGGUUAAUGAGGCGAACCGGGGGAACUGAAACAUCUAAGUACCCCGAGGAAAAGAAAUCAACCGAGAUUCCCCCAGUAGCGGCGAGCGAACGGGGAGGAGCCCAGAGCCUGAAUCAGUGUGUGUGUUAGUGGAAGCGUCUGGAAAGGCGCGCGAUACAGGGUGACAGCCCCGUACACAAAAAUGCACAUACUGUGAGCUCGAUGAGUAGGGCGGGACACGUGGUAUCCUGUCUGAAUAUGGGGGGACCAUCCUCCAAGGCUAAAUACUCCUGACUGACCGAUAGUGAACCAGUACCGUGAGGGAAAGGCGAAAAGAACCCCGGCGAGGGGAGUGAAAAAGAACCUGAAACCGUGUACGU
rnacentral:rRNA from 1 species